UACAGAGGUCCCAAGCGUUGUUCGGAUUCACUGGGCGUAAAGGGUGCGUAGGUGGCGAGGUAAGUCGGAUGUGAAAGCUCGGAGCUCAACUCCGAAAUGGCAUUGGAAACUACCUUGCUCGAGGGUUGGAGGGGGACUGGAAUGCUUGGUGUAGCAGUGAAAUGCGUAGAUAUCAAGCGGAACACCAGUGGCGAAGGCGGGUCUCUGGACAGUUCCUGACGCUGAGGCACGAAGGCCAGGGGAGCAAACGGG
rnacentral:rRNA from 1 species